AUUGAACGCUGGCGGAAUGCUUUACACAUGCAAGUCGAACGGCAGCACGGACUUCGGUCUGGUGGCGAGUGGCGAACGGGUGAGUAAUGUAUCGGAACGUGCCCAGUCGUGGGGGAUAACGUAGUGAAAAUUACGCUAAUACCGCAUACGAUCUAUGGAUGAAAGCGGGGGAUCGCAAGACCCCGCCCGAUUGGCGCGGCCGAUAUCAGAUUAGGUAGUUGGUGGGGUAAAGGCCCACCAAGCCAACGAUCUGUAGCUGGUCUGAGAGGACGACCAGCCACACUGGAACUGAGACACGGUCCAGACUCCUACGGGAGGCAGCAGUGGGGAAUUUUGGACAAUGGGCGAAAGCCUGAUCCAGCCAUUCCGCGUGCAGGAUGAAGGCCCUCGGGUUGUAAACUGCUUUUGUACAGAACGAAAAGGUUUCUACUAAUACUAGGAGCUCAUGACGGUACUGUAAGAAUAAGCACCGGCUAACUACGUGCCAGCCGCCGCAGUAA
rnacentral:rRNA from 1 species